UUCGUCCCCACCAGUGCGUCGGUGCAGGACGCAUCUCCGGCACGUUCGUCCUCAUCGCCCCAAGUGAGAUCAGGUCCUCCUAGCGUCCCUCACCAUUUCCUCCAAUUUUUACAUGUCUCCCCCGUUCAAUCCCUUUCCAGAUUCAUUUAUUAUGUAUAUGGUUAUUUCAGGCGUGUUAACUUUUUUUAGGAUUAGGAAUAGGCAAGUAACUACGAGUUGAAGAGGUCUGGAACUUGCAUGUUGAGGGUGUACAUCCGCACCCCGCAGGCUUAGUUUAUUUGAUUAUCGCAGUCAUGGUACUCAUUCUUUGGCAUUAUGCUUUGACUUGACAACAUGAAGUAUUACAAUGGUUGUCUCUUCCUUAAGGCUGAGGUGAUUCUGUGCAGAAGUGACCAUUCUUUUGCUGAAACUCUCAGUAUAUGUAUUUUACCCAUCUUGCAUUUUUUCAUGUGUCUUGGCUCUGUGCAAUAGAAUUUGGUUAUUUUGUCCAAUAUUUACUUCAGUCUAGGGUGCCUCGUACCAUCAAUCCUGCUUCUUCAGGUUUCUUUAUGGUGAUAAAGCUCGAUUUUUAACGAAGAGAUCCGUCCAGAAUUGAGGCACUCAAAUACAGCAGUUGCUCAGGUGUACAUCUCUAGUGGCGCAAUGCAAGGAUCCACACCAGAACGUUGUAAGGCCACCGGAGUGAGACAUUUCUAGACUUCCACAACAUGGAGUUAUCAAAAACAAUGGCUAUGCAGCUUGCAGGUUCACACAUGAUAGACUCCCAAGAUAAUGAUUUUGUGACUCGGUUAUGUCGGAUGAUUUUUCAUGUACUACAGUUUAUAGGAAAUAUUUGUUGAACCACCGCUGAAGGGGAAGCAAAUUUAUGUGCGUGAUGAUGGAUUUUUACUCAGACGUGUCAAUGGAUACUGAUUACUUCGAUUCAACAAUAGGCCUCAAAUAUAUUUGUGAAAACUUGGAGUAAUGGUAUGCAAUCUAGCAUGGUUACAAAGUAUCUUAGUUCCUGGUCCAAUGUUCCCAAGCUCAAUGCUUAAAUUUUGAUUGAUGUGAGUGACUGAAUUCUUUUCGUCAUACAUAAUGAAUCUGGAGUUCUUGAAAUGUGGUGGAAUAUUAUUUGUAGUUCUAUCAAUGUAGUUUAAUACAGCUCAAUUGGACAUGGGAAUUCAGAUGGACAAGGCCAUUUUUACUUGCAAAUUUCUGAAAGCUUUCGUUUCUACUAUGGCAUUGUUCUUACUUGUGCCUAAGCUGUUUGAUUUCUAUUGCAGUGGCAAGUCUUUCAGCUGUCCCAUGUUACUGAUAUUCUGGUAGAGAUGGAAUGGAUCGAGUAGGUUGCUUGCCCUCACAAUGAACGUGCAUAGUUCAUCUAAUUGCUUCACUAUGAACCAGGUUUCCUUGGCACAUGUUGAUUCAUUAUUUUCUCAGCUGCUCAUCUACUUUCACUUAGAAUUGGUUUCAGUUUAUGUUUAAACCUGCUCUUUUUUCCUAGCUUUUUUUACUUCUGAACUAUUGACCGUUCCACCUAUUGCACUUGACAUUCUUCAUUUGUUCUUUCAAACUGUUUUUGUUUUUAAUUUCUAAGCUGCUGAUGGAUUUAUUAUUUUGAUUAUUAACACUAAUAAAUUUCUCUUACCAUUCUACCUUUUUCUGAAUGGCUCUUGGUCACGCCGUUGUAUGCUCCUGGCCACAAGGCCGGUCGCUGGCUAUCCAGCCUGCUAACUAACAAGAGGAAUGACAAGAGGCAGACGUGAAGGGAGACGUGUGAGGUUACCUUGGCUGCCAUCUCGUUUCUCAGCUGCUCUCCUCUUCUACAUGUUAGCGGUGGUGACUUGGGCGACCGGCACCGAGGAGCACGAUGACUUGAUGGCAGUGUGGCAUGGUGGCCACGAGUUUCACCUUAUCGAUCAUUAACCAAUACAUGUGGUGCAAGAGGAAAAGGCAGAAACAUCCGGUCAGCGGAAAUUGAUGAUCACAUUGUUUCUCUUUUGGCAGGAUAUGUAAAUUCCUGUCUAAGCUUUAUCCUUUUUACACCAUAAGGAAUAGAUGAUGAUAAAUGUUGUGAUAUCCAAAGCUAG